rnacentral:rRNA from 1 species
CAAAUGAAUUGACGGGGGCCCGCACAAGCGGUGGAGCAUGUGGUUUAAUUCGAUGCAACGCGAAGAACCUUACCUACUCUUGACAUCCACAGAACUUUCCAGAGAUGGAUUGGUGCCUUCGGGAACUGUGAGACAGGUGCUGCAUGGCUGUCGUCAGCUCGUGUUGUGAAAUGUUGGGUUAAGUCCCGCAACGAGCGCAACCCCUAUCCUUAUUUGCCAGCACGUAAUGGUGGGAACUCUAGGGAGACUGCCGGUGAUAAACCGGGGGAAGGUGGGGACGACGUCAAGUCAUCAUGGCCCUUACGAGUAGGGCUACACACGUGCUACAAUGGCGAGUACAGAGGGUUGCAAAGCCGCGAGGUGGAGCUAAUCUCACAAAGCUCGUCGUAGUCCGGAUUGGAGUCUGCAACUCGACUCCAUGAAGUCGGAAUCGCUAGUAAUCGUGGAUCAGAAUGCCACGGUGAAUACGUUCCCGGGCCUUGUACACACCGCCCGUCACACCAUGGGAGUGGGCUGCAAAAGAAGUGGGUAGCUUAACCUUCGGGGGGGCGCUCACCACUUUGUGGUUCAUGACUGGGGUGAAGUCGUAACAAGGUAGCCCUAGGGGAACCUGGGGCUGGAUCACCUCCUU